rnacentral:lncRNA from 1 species
CGCAAAUGCACAUGCACUAGUCUUGGAACACAAGGCCUCAUUGUGAGCUCUGGUUAGCAUCACAAUGAAUGUCACCAUUGCCUAGCAAAGAGUCCCUGCUGCUUGGUGGAGAAGGAGACCUCUGUGGAAGUGUGUUGGUUGUGGAGUCUUGCCUGUCUUCUCUAUGGUAUCCACGGGGUUGUCCCAUGAUCCUAGGAGAGGAAAAACAUAAGCCAGCCUGAAGAUACGUCAAGCACAGCCACAGGAAUAAACUGCAAAAUCCCUAAGAAUCCAAAAGGAUCUGCAGGAUUUCUCAAGCCUGCCUAGAUGUCGAAUCUUUGAACAUCGCUUGGACUCGUUCACAAGUCAGCUCAUUCUCUCAGCGCUACUGGACACCAUUCUCAGGCUGGCAAUUGCCACAGAGGGCAUCUGAGACAUUGUCUCAACUUCAUCUGCACCAGUGGGAGGCCUUUCCCAGGUGGGAGAACACUACUCCACUUUGGAAUUGCCAUUGUCAGUGUUCCUGGCUUUCCCAGAGAGCCACUGCAAGGCCCAGGAUGAAGGGAGGCAGUGAGAUUAAGGACACAAUCAUCUUUCACUGACAUCCAACUCUGGGACCUCAGGUAUGAUUCCAUCACCUAAAAACGUCUCAAACACUCACCAGACUAUAUUCCAAACUGAAUGGGACCUCAUUCUUGCACACAGCCUCUUUCAGAAAUGAAGUCAGAAAAGCAGUUUCCAGGGACCACCUCAGCGUCUCAAAACCCCUCCACUUCCAAUGGGAAAUGACCACAGAGAUGUUCUGAAGGGGCCCUAGGAGGAGACUUUUAGGGUCCCACAGUGGUUUGUCGCAUGUAUAAUUUUUCCUAAUACCAGGCCAAUUCUGUCUGUACCAUUUUCCACUGCUUAGGCACUGACAGCUCUGACAGCCGGGCACCAGAGCUGGCUUUAUGAAUGCUCAUGUGUUUGUCUCAGGGCACCAGGCCUGAGCUGUGAGCUCUGGCUAGAGUCACAAUGUAUGCCACCUUUGCCUAGCGACAAGUCCCUGCAGCUUGCCAGAGAAGGAAAACUCCUUGGAGGUGCAUCAGCAAUUGAAUCUCCCCUGUGUUCUCUUUGGGAUCCGUGGAAUAAUCCCAUGAUCCUAGGAGAGGGCAGAUAUUUGCCAGUGUGAAGAAACAUCAAGCAGAGCCCCAUAAAUAAACAGUGAAAUACCUAUGCAUCCAAAAUGAUCUGCACGAUGCCUCAGGCUUGCCUAAAGGUUGUGGGGUGAGUCUUUUUGAAAAUUGCCACGCUGCGAUUUUGAGGUACAGCCUGCCUGUGUUCCCCAGGGCUGUUAUCUCCCAGGUGGGGUUUCCUGCAGAACCACAAAGACUCAGAAGCUGUCAAGCUGUCUGUUUCUUUAGGAUUGUGGUGAAUCUUGGACAUCUGCAUGAGUCUGUGGCCUCAUGUGUUUGUGUGUGUGUGUAUGUGUGUAUGUGUGUGCCUGUAUGUGGAGUUCUCUUGAAGAAAUGUGGCUAACACACUUCAGAACUUCUCUUAUUUUUUUUUUUAUGUCUCACAAACGUUUGAUGGCCUUUCAUUGUGUCUCUACCUGGGCUGUGGGGCUCCAAAUUCUCUAAUUUUCUGCGGAUCGUGAAUCCACAGUGAAGUGGGAGGGGUGCUGAGACCCACCGGUGUCCAAAUCACCUGUGCCAAAAUAGCCACUCUACUAGAAAGAAGAGGAGCAUACCACACCAAAAAACACAUCUGCCAGUGUAUCAUAGGCAUAUGGCCAAUCCAAGAAGGGAUAGUAGCAGUCCUGUCUGCAGGGCCCCUUGAAUGUACCUUGAACUCAGUUCCCAGCCAAGCAGAUGCUUCAUAUUGUAAGGGGGCACUCCUCUAUUGUCUAUUGUCUUGGGAUGUCAUCCUGGGACACAGAGUGUGAGCAGCACUCUCUUCUUUUCUUGACUUCCUGUUCCUCAUCUGCCUAGGGUUUCCUCAUUCUGGCUUAACGACUUCAACACAAAACGUUUAAAACUUCACUUAGAACGAUCCUCAUGGGAAUCCAUUGUGUGAGUGUUUCCUUUUAAACACUGUCACGUUUUAAUGACUGGGCAGCUUUGAUACUUUUAAAACCAUAAAAUCCCAUUACAGCCACCAAUAAGGAAUGUCUUGUUUUCCCAUUUCUAUUGGAGGGCUGCUUGAUUCCUGUAAGAUAAGAAACAGGCUAUCAUGUCUGGCUUUGGCUGGUCAUCUAGCCUCUGUUUCAUUACACCUGCAUGGACUUCUCAUUUUAGAGAGUCUCUUCCUUUGGGCUGUUCCUGGAUGGGACUGCCUGGCACCACAGAUCACUUAGCUGCCAGGAACUUCAGCGAGCAUAAGAGACUUCAGAAAGCCUUUGUGAGGCCCAGGAUGAAGGGAGGCAAUGAGGUUAAGGGCCCAACUGCCAGAAUAUAUUCCAAUACCCACGGGACUUGAUUACUGCACACAGCCUCUUUCGUGAAUGGUGUCAAAAGGGCCAUUUCCUCAGGCCUGCCUAGACGUUGUACGGGUGAGUCUUUUUGAAUCUUGCCCCACUGUGAUUUCUAGGUACAGAUCAUCUGUGUUCCCCAGGGUUGCUCUCUCCUAGAUGGGGCUUUCUGCAGAACCACACUGCCUCAGGAGCUGCCAGGCCAUGUGUUUCUGUGGGAGUAUUGCAAGUGUUAGAUUUAUGCGUCUGUGUGUGGUGUGUAUUUGUGUGUGUGUGUGUGUGUGUGUGUGUGUGUGUGUGUGUGGCUGUAAGUGGAGUCUGCUUAAUGGAAUGUGGCUAACACACUUCAGCCCUUCUUCUUCUCUCUUUCUUUUUUUUUUCAGUCUCACAACCUUUUGGUUGUCUGUCUUUGUGGCUUUGCUUGGGCUGCCCAGCUCUUUGUUCUUUAUUUUCCUGUGGUUCAUGAAUCUAUAGUUAAUUGUGUGCUGAGACCCACUGGCAUUCAAAUCCUCUCCCACUGCAAAAAAUAAAUAAAUAAAUAAAUAAAUAAAUAAAUAAAUAAAUAAAUAAAAUAAAAAGCCUUUCGUCUACAAAGAAAGGGAGCACUCUUCUCCAAAAAACAGACAUCUCCAUCAUUUCAUUUUCGUGUGGUCAACCCAGGAAGAGACACUGGCUGUCCUGUCCGCAGGGCCCUUGAAUGUAUCUGUAAUUCAGUUCCCAACCAAUCAGGUGCUUCACAUCAUGAGGGAGAACUCUUCCAUCAUCUUGGAAUUUUAUCCUGUUACAUAGAGUGUGGGCAGCAAUAAAGUCAGAUGGGGUGAGGAUACAAUCUGGUGAGAAGUGGAUGGGGGUCCUGCAACUUCAUCUGCAAAAAAAUGAAGACUGAUGACACAGAAGGUGUUUCCAACUCCAUCCCCACAUUUUCUUAAUUGCACAAGCAGUCCACACAAUGGUCUGGUGUUGAAGUGGGAAUAUUCCAAUGUGUAAGAAACAUUUGGAGUGCAAAUUUGGGACACAAGGCAGCUCAUUCUCUCAGGCAAGCCUUGAUUUUCCUUUGCUUUCAUGGGGAAUCCACAGUGCCCCACAACAGCACUACUGGACACUUAUUUCGGGAUUUCCAUUGCCAGAGACGGCCUCUGAGAAACUGUCUCAACCUCAUCUUCACCCUUGAGAAGCCAGUCCAAGGUGUGAGAACACUUCUCCACCUUGGACUUGCCUUUGUCAUGGUUUCUGCCAUUACCAGAGGUUUCCUGCCUUUCCCAGAUGGCCACUGUGAAGCUCAGGAUGAAGGGAGGCAGUGAGGUGAAUAUCCUGGCCAUCUUUCACUGACAGAGACUCCACCUCUGGAGUCUCAGGUAUGAUUCAAUCAUCCAAAAUACCUCGACAGCACACCAGAUCAAAUUCCAGUCCCCAUGGGACCCAAUUAUUUCACGCAACCUCUCUGAGAAAUGAAAUCAGAAGAAGAGUUGUGAGUGAAGACCUCACAGUUUCAAAACGCUUCCUCCUGUAGCAGGACCCAACCACAGAGACUGCCAGAAGGGGCCCUGAGGUCAAAAUUUUUAGGGUCCCUCAGUGGAUACUUGCAGGCAGGCUUUUUUUCAGAUAUCAGGCCGCUUUCAUCUGUACUAUUUUCCUCUGCUUAGGCAGGCUGACAGCUCUGAUAGCCUGGCACCAGAACCUACUUUGUGCUUACACAGGCGCUAGUCUCAGGGCACCAGGCUUGAUUGUGAGCUCUGGCUAGCAUCACAGUGAAUGUCACUGUUGCCUAACAAUAAGUCUCUGCGGCUUAGGGGAGGAGAACUCCGUGAAGGCAUAUGGGCUGUGGACUCUCACCUGUCUUCUCUGUGGGAUCCAUGAUGUAGUCCCAUGAUCCCAGGACAGGGCAGACCUGAGCCAGCAUGAUAAAAAGUCAAGUAGAACCCCAAGAAUAAACCACAAAAUCUCUAAGAUUUCAGAAGGAUUUGUAGAAUGCAGCAGGCCUGCCUACACAUUGUAGAGUUGAGUUUUUUGAAACUUGCUCCACUGUGAUUUCUAGAAGCACCCUGUCUGUGUUGCCCAGAAUUGCUCUCACCCAGGUGAGGCUUCCUGCAGAACCAUGCAACCUCAGAAGCAGUUCUUAGAUGUCUGCUUGUAGGUGUGACUUUCUGCCUUUGUGUGUGUGUGUGUGUGUGUGCACUCGUGUAAGUGCCUGUAAGUCAAGCCUGCUUAAAAGAAUGUGGCUAAUGCCCUGCAGCAAUUCUUUUUUAUUUGCAUCUCCCAACCUUUAGGUGGUCUGUUUGUGUGGCUCUUCUUAGGCUGAAGGGCUCCAUGUUCUUUAAUUUUUCUGUGGAUCAUGAAUAGAAGUGAAUUUGGACACUGGCUGUGACCUGCUGGUGUCCACUUCACCUCCCCAUGCAAAAAAAAAAAAAAAAAAAAAAAAUUCUUCUAGAAAGAAUAGGAGCAUAAAACAUCCAAGAACAGACAUCUCCAAUUGUUUCAUUGUUCUGCAGCCAACCCAGGGAGAAAAACUAGCAGUCCUGUCUGCAGGACUUUUGAAUUUAUUUUGAAUUUAUUUUGAAUUCGGUUGCCACAUGAGCAGGUGGUUCAUGUCAUGAAGUGGCACUUCUGCAAAGCCUUGAGAUUUCAUUCUGAAACAUAGAGUGUGAGCAGCAAUAUGAUCAUAUAGGGUGUUUCCUGGGAUUGGCUCAUCG